UCGAUUUUCUGCUGAGCCUCUUGCAGGAAGACCUCCAGAGAAAGCACGUCGUGAGAGAGCCAAUACUCCCUGCUGAACGACUGGCCAUGACACUAAGGUACCUAUCGUCUGGUGAUGUCAUGCAAGAUAUCGCCCUUUCGUUCAGAGUGGGGAUAUCAACGGCACGCAUGGCUGUCCGGGUCACAUGCCGGGCACUAUGGAGCAGACUGCAGACGCUCUACAUGCCGAAACCCGAGACUGCCACCUGGCUGGAGAUUGCGGAGGGCUUUGGGCAUGCCUGGAAUUUUCCAAACUGCCUUGGAGAUGUUGACGGCAAGCAUCUACACCUCGAGUGCCCUGCCAAAUCAGGAAGCAUGUACUUCAACU